UGGGGAAUAUUGGACAAUGGGGGCAACCCUGAUCCAGCAAUACCGCGUGUGUGAAGAAGGCCUGAGGGUUGUAAAGCACUUUCAAUUGUGAAGAAAAGUUAACGGUUAAUAACCGUUAGCCUUGACGUUAACUUUAGAAGAAGCACCGGCUAACUCCGUGCCAGCAGCCGCGGUAAUACGGAGGGUGCAAGCGUUAAUCGGAAUUACUGGGCGUAAAGCGUGCGUAGGUGGUUUAUUAAGUCAGAUGUGAAAGCCCCGGGCUUAACCUGGGAACUGCAUUUGAAACUGGUUAACUAGAGUAUGGUAGAGGAAAGUGGAAUUUCUGGUGUAGCGGUGAAAUGCGUAGAUAUCAGAAGGAACAUCAAUGGCGAAGGCAGCUUUCUGGACCAAUACUGACACUGAGGUACGAAAGCGUGGGUAGCAAACAGGAUUAGAUACCCUGGUAGUCCACGCCGUAAACGAUGAUAACUAGCCGUUGGGGGGAUUUACCCUUUAGUGGCGAAUUAGCGCGUUAAGUUAUCCGCCUGGGGAGUACGGCCGCAAGGUUA
rnacentral:rRNA from 1 species